rnacentral:lncRNA from 1 species
ACAAAAACCUUUGCAUUCGUCAUAUUCACAGCCGCAGCACACAAAAACCUACUCCGCCAAAAUGAGUAUGAAAUCUAGUGAUUUUCUCCCCUAAAACAACAUCAGUAUGCCAAAUGGGUUAAUUUUAAUGUUCCGAUUCUCAUUCAUUUGGGUGAUUAUGAGAAGUAAUCAGUUGAUCUUUCGACAAAUCAGUGAAAUAUUCGAUCGUGAUUUCCCUGUUUAAAUUCAGAGGUAUUAUUCCUACUUUUAUGUAUAUUAGUUUAGAUUAUUUUUAAUUUAAUGUUUUUUGUUUCGUAUCUUUCAUAAAAUGUCGAAUGUAUUAGCAUUAUAACACCUUAUACUAGCCAGCAUCAACAUAUCGAUUUGCAAUGUUGGGCUAAAUUUUUACGUAUUUUUGAUACUAUGUAUUUUUGAUUAGAGAAACGAAAAUACAGACCUUUGUUCCCUGAAAUAUUAAAUACAAUAGCAUACAAAGUCUUUUUUGAAGAAAAACGUGGAUUCAAUUUCAUAUUGAUAAAUGUAAGUUGAUUUUGGUUUAAACAGGAGAUAUUUAAGUUAAUUUAGCAGUAAGCUCAUCUGUGAUUGCCAACCCAUUUGUUUGGAUAGUUUCUCAGAAAGCUAUCUGCUAACACCAGAGCUUUACAAUUCGAUUGCCCCCUUGCUCCAGGGCCUAACUAUUCAAAAUCUCCCCCUUUCCAAGUUAACACACUUUGGCAGAAAAGCACUAGCCCACAAAACCUAAACCAGCCAUUUGGAUCAUCUUGAUAAUUUAAACUAGGAUCUGGAGCCAUAAUAUUCAAGCAAUCCCAAUCUUUCCUUUGCCCAAGUCGGUAGCUUUCCAUCAUCUACCUUUCAUGAUCCCUUCUAUGCAAAGGAAUGCACUGUUUUUGACACCACGGGUUGUCUUCUAAAUUGAGGCACAAGUCUACACAUAGAAAUCUGAUGUGUGUUUUGUUGGCUAUAUGAUUUUUUGUAGUUUCUUUUAUUAGGUUUCUUAUUUCGAAAUUUUGUUAAAGUUUAUUUUUUUUUACGUGUAAAUGGUUGACAAUGCAUUAUUUUCUUAUAUGGAUUACAUGGUAAACUUUUUGUAUUUUUUGUAGAAAGACAACAUGUCAUCAAGAAGUAUGGUAGAGAGCAACAAAUUUUGUCCCCAAUACCAUCCCCGUACCAUCCCUCAUGCACCAAUAACAUCGAAGAAGACACCAAAAAAUGAAAGAAAAACAGUAAAAUAAGACAUUAUACUUGAAAAUGAAAGUGAAAACCCUCUCUAUAAUAGACAUCAUGAUUUGUGGCAAAUGGAAAGUCAUCAACAUACGAUGAUUGCAGAUUUGCGUUGGUGGAGAAGUCUCCAACCUGAAAUGUUUAAAAUAAUGAUAAUUAAAGCCUAUAAGAAUGUGACUUAUUCAUAUAAAUUAAGGACAAACAUGUACAUUAAGAUCUAUUGCAUCAUGUCUCAUGUAGUCUUCUGUUUAACUUGAGAAUUGUUAUUGAGUACACUUAGUCACCAUGAGAACUCUACACAAAAGAAAAAGGAGUAAAAUAAAAACAUUUAAUCUAAAUAAAUAAAAUUUUACAUUUGAAAAAAUUAACGAAAAAUGUUUACUAAAUUAGUGAAAUCUAAGUUAUGUUCAAUGGCCUUGUCUUUUCCUUUUUCUUUCUCUUUAUUUUUCCUUUUCUUCACUCUUAUACGACUAACAACUUUUUCAAUCUUAGAAUGAAGCCUUUUAAAGCGGCGCCGACCUUUACGAUGAAUCAACAAAGGACUAUAAAUAUUAUUUUUUUUACAACUACUACCCACUUGAGUGCCUUAUUUGAAAGGAGUCGAGUGAUUACUUCCACAUGUUCCAUCAUCUUUUUUUAGUACAUUAACAAAUCUUUUAAUCCAAUGCAUAACAACUUUUGUCUUAUCUUCAUUAUUUAUCGCCAAGUUUGCCGCUUCAUAAAAAGAGUUGCACUGUGACGCCCCAAAAUAGGUUCACACAACUCAUUCUGAGUCGCCAAAUACAUGGUACAGAAUCCAAAUAUAACUUCAUUUAUACAACUGUCGUGCAAAAUACGAAAACACAUAAACUGAGAGUUUCAAUACAAAUAUUGUCUCGCAGACAAUAUCUAAACUAAAGUAAAGUUCUCAUUACAAUUAUUAUCACAUUAUUUUAUAAAAUAGUGAAGACUACUAUAAUAACCAUCUUGGACCAUUAUUUCAUUCCCUGACUAGUCCCAAUUACAUUCUCGCCUCUUGAGAAGAACACUGGAACCAAAAGAAAAAAGGUGAGCUCAACUAGCACAGUAAAAAAAAUAUUAUGACUAAGAUAAUGAAGAACAAAUUAUCCUUAGUGCUCAACAGUGAAAAAUCUUGAUAGAAUACAAUAGACAAUAAAUUUUAGAUCAACAACUGAAGUAGAACAAGCAAUCCAUUAGAAGAGUCAAGUAGAGCAUGAUGUCUACUAUCUUCUAUGAUUUAAAAGUCCAUCAUCAAUAUUUUAUCUUUGUAACAUCAAUCAAUAAAUAUUUCAAAUCAACAAUUUUUUCACGCACUACGGGCCAAGGAUAUUCGUUUGAAUCACCAGUGGUCAUGAUCAUGCCAAACAACUGUCCAUCUAUACACUACGAGCCAAAGAGGACUUUCACCACUAUAUUUGUCUGUAACAUUACAGGUCAUGAUUAUAUCAAUACACAAUUCCUAGUCAUAAUUAUACCAAUCAACAGUUCAUCUAUGUACUGCGAGCCAAAGAUAACUUUUACCACAAUAUAAGCAUAAGGAUGAUGACAAUGAUAUAAUGAAUCAAUCAAGUGAGAUCAAUGAUAAAUAUUAAAAAUUUACAAUUCAAUUUAUUCAGAGUUCAAGAAUGUCCAAAUUGUCAACAUGAUAACUAAUUAUGGAGUAAAAUUUAAGAAUGAUAUUCAUGUAUCAAAAAUAAUUUGAAAAGAAAAUAAACCAAUUUUGCGUGAAUAGUACCCAAAUAAAUAGUACCCGAGUAAAUAGUACCCUGUGAAUAGUACCCCGAAUGAAAAUAUUGAAAUUUAAUAAGAAAGUUCAGACCAGUAUUUUAAUGAAACGAUACUAGAUGAAGCACAAAACUCAAUGAUAUUCUACUAAUUUCAGAGAUUAUAGAAGCAAUACUUAUAAAAGUAAGUGUAGAUUUAGGAAUAUGAAACGAAAUAAUAUUACUUACAUACUAUAGAGUAUGGAAGAAAAUAAUAUUUCUUACUUGAUGUCUAUUAUAUUUUAUCAGUAUAACACUGUUGAGGACUAAUAAUAAUUUAUCCUGCAUUAUCUUAGUCAUAAUAUUUCUUACUGGGCUAGUUGAGCUCACCCUUUCUUUUACUGUUCUCUUCAGGAAAUGAGAACGUAGCCGGGACUAGUCGGGGAACGGAGUGAUGGUCCGAGAUGAUGUUUUAGUAGUCCUCAUUAUUCUGUUAAAUAGUGUGAUAAUAAAUGUAAUGAGGACUAAAUUGAGUGUGGAUAUUAUCUAGAUGACAAUAUUUGUAUUAAAACUCACAACAUGUAUUUUGUCAUAUUUUUACACGACUGUUGUAUAAUCAAGUUGUAUUUGAAUUUAGUACCAUGUAUUUGACGACUCAAGAUGGGUGAUGUAUACCUAUUUUGGGGGCGUCACACAUACAACUAUAAAAUCAAUAAUUAACAAUCCAUCUUUGCACGUAAGCUAAAGAUAUAUUACUGUAAAAUCAAUAAUCAAUAGUUCAUCUUUGCACGUAAGUCAAAGAUAUACAACUGUAAAAUUAAUAAUCAAUAGUCCAUCUUUGCACGUAAGCUAAAGAGAAUUUUUACCACAUCAUUUGUCUGUAAAAUAAAUAAUCCACGUCACUGAAUUAUCCAUGCACUAUGAGCCAAUGAUAUUCGUUAUUAUCACAUACACGAAUUAUUCAUGCACUACGGGCCAAGGAUAUUCGUUAUUAUCACCAGUGGUCAUGAUCAUACCAAACAAUUGUCUAUCAAUGCACUAUGGGCCAAUGAUGACAUUGUUUACCACAUCAUUUAUAACAUUACAGAUCAUGAUUAUACCGAUACAUAAUUCCUGGUCAUAUUCAUACCAAUCAACAGUCCAUCUAUGCACUACGAGCCAAAGAUGACUUUCACUGCAAUAUAAACUUGAGGAUGAUGACAAUGAUAUAAGAAUUUAAUUACGUGAGAUCAAGGAUAAAUUUUAAAGAUUUAUAAUUCAAUUUAUCCAAAGUUUAAGAAUGUCAAAAUUGUCAACAUGAUAACUGCUUUGUGGAGUAAAAUUUAAUAAUAAUAUUCAGGUAUCAAAAAUAAUUUGAAUAGAAAAGAUAUCAAUUUUUGUCGUGAAUAGUACCCCGUAAAUAGUACUGUAAGACCCCAACUUUUAUGAAUAAAUAUUUAAUUUUCUCUAAAUAUUAUUUUUAAAUAAUAAGGUGUGGAUUUGAUAUAAUGUUAUAGUUGUGGAUAAUAUUUAUAAAUUUUGCAAAGUAAGCAAGUUGUUAUAAAAUAUUCAUUUGGUUGAAAAAUAUUCAUUUUAUCAGGGAGUAUUCGUACAACGACACAAUCAUUGGUGGUCUCCACAAUGGAAUUACUACCGAAGUUAGAAAACGAUAUAAAUAUCUUUUUAUAAAAAUAACGGCGAAAGUUUUACCGUUAAUUGCUGAAAUACCCGAUGAUAAAAUUACAGUAAUAUGCGUCGUUGCACAGUAGCACACGGUAUUGUACAAUAUCUUUGAUUAUUGAUGCUUACGUGAGAAGUCACUCAGUUUAUUUCAAUUAUUUCCACAAUAAUGGUUGCAUAGUAUCUCGCGUUAUUGAUUCAAUUAUUGUCACAAUAUUUUAUAUUAUUAAAUUAAUAAUUGAGACGACAAAGUUAUUCAUAUUAUUAUUUGUAUUAUUGACAAUGUCUAGAAAGUUCUGUCGAGAAAAGGGGUUUGGUCACCUAAUUACGCGCCAAUAAGGAAAAAUUCUUAUCGAAAAGCCCCUCUUUCUGAGAAUGAUCUGGUUGUUAAUAUUGUGAGUUAUAAUAUUAAUGAUGAAUGUUAUUAAAAAUGUUUUUGUGAAGCUAAGUGAAUUAGGAUAAAUAGAGAGAAUUUUUAUGAAGUAUUUGUUGUAAAUUUUGCUUAUUAUAUGGACCCCCACUUACCCAUUUUUCAAAAUUAUCGAGAGAAAGUUAUCUUAGUUUUGUUAUAUAUAUAUAAUAUUGGUCACGGGUGGGAGUUACUAUCAUUAUUAUAUAUAUAUAUGUUUUUUUAAUAUAAAAAAUAGAAUAUUUAAUAUUUUAUUCGAUUGCAUAGUGUUACAUAGUACUGCAUAGUAAAAUCAAAAAAUUUUGUUGAAAUUAGCUGUCUAUGCUCGUGAAAAUUUUUUCAUGUGCGUCCGUGAUUUUAUUUUCUAAAUAGUAUCAUUCCAUUCUCCUAUAAAUAGGAUGCUUAGUUUAGAAAUAAAAAUUACACCAGAAUCAUAGAAUUCUUUUUCUAUAAUAUUGAACGUAUUUCUUUAAAGUUUAAGGAAACUUUGAGUGUAAAAAAUAGUACAAGUUUUCUUCAAGAAUAUUCCCGUUAUACCAUUCAGAAAUACUCUCCUUUUAAGGUAAAGGGUAUUUGUUUUGUUCACUAUUCGUAAGAAAUAAUAUUUUCUUCCAUACUCUGUAGUAUGUAAAUAAUAUUAUUUCGUUUCAGAUUUCGAAAUUAAUAUAAUAUCCUUGAAAUUUGCGCUUCAUCGAGUAUCUUUUCAUAGAAAUAUUUUUCUAAACAUUCUUGUUAAAUUUUAAUAUUUUCAUAUCAGAGUACUAUUCACGGGGCACUAUUCACGAAGUACUAUUUGGGAUACUAUUCACUCAGGUAAUAUUCACCCGGUUUACUAUUUAUGACAAAAAUUGAUUCUUUUCUGUCCAAAUUAUUUUUGAUACAAUAUUAUUCGUGAAUUUUACUCCACAAAGCAGUAUCAUGUUGACAAUUUAGACAGAACUAUUGAUAAAUUGAAUUAUAAAUCUUUAAAAUUUAUCCUUGCAUUCAUUUAAUUGAAUUCUUAUAUCAUUGUCAUCAUCCUCAUGCUUAUAUUGUGAUGAAAGUCAUCUUUGGCCCGUAGUGUAUAGAUGGACUGUUGAUUGGUAUGAUUAUGACCAGGAAUUAUAUAUCGAUAUAAUCAUGACAUGUAAUAUUACAAAUGAUAUGGUAAAAGUCCUUAAUGGCCCAUAGUGCAUUGAUGGACAUUUGUUUGGCAUGAUCAUGACCAUUGGUGAUAAUAACGAAUAUCCUUGGCCCGUAGUGCAUGGAUAAUUCGUGAUGUGAUACUAAUGAAUAUCCUUGGCCCAUGGAUAACUCAAUGAUGUGGAUUAUUUAUUGAGUUGUGUUAUCGCGAUAAAAUAUUGAUGAUGAACUUUUAAAUCAUAGAAGAUAGUUGAUAUCAUGAUCUUCUAAUGGACUACUUGCUUCGCUUUAGUUAAACUUUUUAUUAAUUGUAUUCUAUCAAUUUAACACUGUUGAAGGCUAACGAUAAUUUAUUCUGCAUUAUCUUAGUCAUAAUAUUCUUUACUGGGCUAGUUGAGCUCACCCUUUUCUUUCAUUGUUCUCUCCAGGAAAUGAGAAUAUAGCAGAGACUAGUCAGGGAAUGGAGUGAUGGUCGGAGAUGGUGGCUAUAAUAGUCCUCACUAUUCUAUGAAAUA